rnacentral:rRNA from 1 species
GAACGCGCUCCAUUCGGUAGCAAUACUGAUGAAGAGCGAGUGGCGAACGGGUGAGUAGCACGUGAGCAACCUGCCCCGAAGACUGGGACAACACCGGGAAACCGGUGCUAAUACCGGAUAUCCAUAUCGGACCGCAUGAUCCGAUAUGGAAAUGGAUUCCGCUUCGGGAGGGGCUCGCGGCCUAUCAGCUUGUUGGUGGGGUAAUGGCCUACCAAGGCAUCGACGGGUAGCUGGUCUGAGAGGACGAUCAGCCACACUGGGACUGAGACACGGCCCAGACUCCUACGGGAGGCAGCAGUGGGGAAUCUUGCGCAAUGGGCGAAAGCCUGACGCAGCAACGCCGCGUGGAGGACGAAGGCUUUCUGAGUUGUAAACUCCUUUCAGCAGGGACGAUAGUGACGGUACCUGCAGAAGAAGCACCGGCCAACUACGUGCCAGCAGCCGCGGUAAU